rnacentral:rRNA from 1 species
AGAGUUUGAUCAUGGCUCAGAUUGAACGCUGGCGGAAUGCUUUACACAUGCAAGUCGAACGGCAGCACGGGGCAACCUGGUGGCGAGUGGCGAACGGGUGAGUAAUACAUCGGAACGUGCCCAAUCGUGGGGGAUAACGUAGCGAAAGUUACGCUAAUACCGCAUACGAUCUACGGAUGGAAGCGGGGAUCGCAAGACCUCGCGCGAAUGGAGCGGCCGAUGUCAGAUUAGGUAGUUGGUGGGGUAAAGGCUCACCAAGCCAACGAUCUGUAGCUGGUCUGAGAGGACGACCAGCCACACUGGAACUGAGACACGGUCCAGACUCCUACGGGAGGCAGCAGUGGGGAAUUUUGGACAAUGGCGCAAGCCUGAUCCAGCCAUUCCGCGUGCAGGAUGAAGGCCUUCGGGUUGUAAACUGCUUUUGUACGGAACGAAAAGGUCCUGGUUAAUACCUGGGGCUCAUGACGGUACCGUAAGAAUAAGCACCGGCUAACUACGUG